rfam:Hammondia hammondi strain H.H.34 contig02168, whole genome shotgun sequence.
GUAGAUGACUACAUUCCACUUCUUAUGUUCGCCUUAGGCUUCAUAAACCCUGGGAAUGACGCAGAGCCGAUUUAGGGUGCCUAUUGCCCACCAGAACGAUGUCAGCGUUGCUUACAGCCACUGACAUCACACUCCGGGCAUAACGUUGAGUGAGGCACCGCCCCUGUUGUCCUAGACCUGAUUGCUUUUUUAUACACUUGCCACCGCGGCAAGUGUUUUUUU